rnacentral:rRNA from 1 species
AAGGAAUAUUGCUCAAUGGGAGAAAUCCUGAAGCAGCAACGCCGCGUGGAGGAUGAAGGGUCUAUGACUUGUAAACUCCUGUAAAGAAGGAAAAAAUUCCCAUUAGAUGGGAGAUGAUGGUACUUCUGGAGUAAGCCCCGGCUAACUACGUGCCAGCAGCCGCGGUAAUACGUAGGGGGCAAGCGUUGUCCGGAUUUACUGGGUGUAAAGGGUGCUCAGGCGGAUUUGUAAGUCAGAGGUGAAAUCUUACAGCUUAACUGUGAAACUGCCUUUGAUACUGCAAGCCUAGAGUAUGGAAGAGAGUGAUGGAAUAUCUGGUGAAGCAGUGACAUGCGUAGAUAUCAGAUAGAACACCAAUGGCGAAGGCAGUCACUUGGUCCAUUACUGACGCUAAAGCACGAAAGCGUGGGUAGCAAACA